rnacentral:rRNA from 1 species
UCAACUUGAGAGUUUGAUCCUGGCUCAGAAUGAACGCUGGCGGCAGGCCUAACACAUGCAAGUCGAGCGAAGUCUUCGGACUUAGCGGCGGACGGGUGAGUAACGCGUGGGAACAUACCCUUUGGUACGGAAUAGCCUCGGGAAACUGGGAGUAAUACCGUAUGUGCCCUUCGGGGGAAAGAUUUAUCGCCAAAGGAUUGGCCCGCGUUGGAUUAGGUAGUUGGUGGGGUAAUGGCCUACCAAGCCGACGAUCCAUAGCUGGUUUGAGAGGAUGAUCAGCCACACUGGGACUGAGACACGGCCCAGACUCCUACGGGAGGCAGCAGUGGGGAAUCUUAGACAAUGGGCGCAAGCCUGAUCUAGCCAUGCCGCGUGAUCGAUGAAGGCCUUAGGGUUGUAAAGAUCUUUCAGUUGGGAAGAUAAUGACGGUACCAACAGAAGAAGCCCCGGCUAACUCCGUGCCAGCAGCCGCGGUAAUACGGAGGGGGCUAGCGUUAUUCGGAAUUACUGGGCGUAAAGCGCACGUAGGCGGAUUAGAAAGUCAGAGGUGAAAUCCCAGGGCUCAACCUUGGAACUGCCUUUGAAACUUCUAGUCUUGAGUUCGAGAGAGGUGAGUGGAAUUCCGAGUGUAGAGGUGAAAUUCGUAGAUAUUCGGAGGAACACCAGUGGCGAAGGCGGCUCA